rnacentral:rRNA from 1 species
GACGAACGCUGGCGGCGUGCCUAACACAUGCAAGUCGAACGGGGUAAUCCUUCGGGGUUACUUAGUGGCGAACGGGUGAGUAACGCGUGAGAAACUUGCCUUUCAGUGGGGGACAACAGUUGGAAACGACUGCUAAUACCGCAUAAUGUUAUUUGAGGGCAUCCUUGAAUAACCAAAGCUUUACGUGCUGAAAGAUGGUCUCGCGUCUGAUUAGCUAGAUGGCGGGGUAACGGCCCACCAUGGCGACGAUCAGUAGCCGGUCUGAGAGGAUGAACGGCCACAUUGGGACUGAGAUACGGCCCAGACUCCUACGGGAGGCAGCAGUGGGGAAUAUUGGGCAAUGGGGGAAACCCUGACCCAGCAACGCCGCGUGAAGGAAGAAGGCCUUCGGGUUGUAAACUUCUUUUACCAGGGACGAAGAACGUGACGGUACCUGGAGAAAAAGCAACGGCUAACUACGUGCCAGCCGCCGCAGUAAUAC